rnacentral:rRNA from 1 species
CAGUCUCAGUUCGGAUCGCAGGCUGCAACUCGCCUGCGUGAAGUUGGAAUUGCUAGUAAUCGCGGAUCAGCAUGCCGCGGUGAAUACGUUCCCGGGCCUUGUACACACCGCCCGUCACACCAUGAGAGUCGGAAACACCCGAAGCCUGUAGUCCAACCGCAAGGAGGACGCAGUCGAAGGUGGGUCUGAUAAUUGGGGUGAAGUCGUAACAAGGUAGC